UGUGUUUUAUUUGGGUUUCACACAGCAUCCAAAAUAACAGCAGAAAGUAUUUAUCCGUCAGUGAACACUACAGACAUGUCAGUGUCACCACCUACAAGCAUGUGGUGCUGCAGCUGCUGUUCUUUACAACUGUUUGUCUGUGGAAGACAAAAUGUCAUAUAAAUAUUGGAGAAAUUCCAAUCCUUGCCCAUUAAGCUUUAAAAUGUAUACAUUUUCAGUUCCAACUGCUGCUGCUGCUGUUUGUGCUGCUAAACGGUGCAGAACUACAUGUCAGACACCUCAAAUUUCAGGCCCACAGACGGAUUACGUCGGCAGGACGUUGUGCUCUGCGUAAAUGAAACCGGGUCCUCGUCAUCACAGCGCUACUCUCUCCCGAUUACUUUUCUCUCUUGUUUGUUUGUAUGACUGCCAGCCACUCUAAUGUUAUCUGAAAAGCAUACAGCGUAAAGCGUGGUAUACCUUUAACAGGAGACGCUAUCACAGGUUUUUCAUACGUGUGCAAACAAGCAUGCAUGCACACAUCUACAGCUCUUUUUUAGGUGGAUUUACAGUCUGUAAGCACAACAGACUGAAUGAACGUCAAGUUUACAGAGUAGUUUAGGCUAAGUGGGUGUACGUGGUAUGUGACAGUUUACGUACAACCAUAGCCAAAAAACCCAGAUGAAUGCUGGUUGGGUCAACUACCCACAAGUGGCCUUAACGACCCUGAAACUCAAAGUUCACACGUGUCCCUUGCGACUCUGUAAGGACACUCCCACACAGGGUCUAAAAGCCUGCAGCUCCCCUCCAGUUAGUUAGAACUGAAGAACCCUCUUGGAUGAGAGGUGAAACGCCUUCAAGACACUGAAACAAGUCCAGCUGCCUGCUAAAUGGCGCUUAAAACAUAGCCAAAAUGUAUAAUUGCCGAGAAAUCAACAUUCGAUUUCCAAGUAUUGGGUAAAAUUUGGUUGCUCCAUCUCUGAGGCUGUCUUCAUUGCACCGUGCAAACAGGAUCUGAACUGGCAAGCACUGUGAUCUCUGUGGCUUUGUAACAACUUGGAGGAGGGGAGGUGAGGGGGGAUGCUAAUCAUUGGCCAGUGGCUCGAUCACAAUUGGCUGCUCGAAAUCAUCCUGUUUGUGAAAGCCUCCCGGAGAAGCCGUGAGGCCAAUCAUCUCCUCCACUCCGAGACUGAGUCUGUCUGUUUGUGGUGCAUGAAAUGUGACUGUCAGGGUACGAACGCGUAUACGCACCCGUCUGCAGACACACACAGACGCGUCCACACACACACACACACACACACACACACACACACACUGAAGCUGGUAAUUGGGCUCAUAAAGCCAAAGGACAAGAGCAGCAAAAUCUCCCCUCCUGUCUUUGUGUGCAAGUGUUUAAGUGUGUGAGCGAGCAAGCGGUUUUUCUGUGUUGCAGUUCAAAUGCCCUGGCAUACUCUUACCCUCCUAAAACCAGGCAAUUUCCUGUGAGGCCAGCGGAGUGUGACAGCAGCAGGUGCCUAAUGGGCAAAGCUUAGGAAACAGGGCAUUACCAAAAUCCAGCAAACUCAAUUGUAUUAAUCCUCGGGAUUAGCAGCUUUAAUUCUCAACAGUUUAAAAAAAAAAAAGUCUUAUUUCCUUUCUGAAAAUGGGAGCAGCGUGUGAGGUGAAUAUUCAACUGUUUCAAAGAGUUUUCCUCCUUGUUAAACUUAAACUUUGGUCUGCUGCUGUAAUUCCACAUCUUGAUGUAGGGAUUCAAAAAAGGGGGGGGAGUUGAGCUUGAGAGGAAAAAAAUGACCACAAGCAGAGUCGUCAAAUCAGAGAAUCCUGUCAGGAGCUUCAAAUCUCUGUUGUACCUGUCAGCUCCACGAUGAGCACACUUUUUGCUAAUUAACGAUCAAUCCCUUGCUGAUAUCAAAGGCCCAUUAUCUUAACCCCACUCUACACAUCGCCCCCAAGACCACUGAAAACUGUCAGUUUUAAUCUCCCUCCCCGCCACCGUCCUCCCGUCUCUCUCUCAGACACACACACAGCUUUCAAAUAAGGGAUUUAGAUUACAGUGAACAGUGCUGGCUUCAUGAUGAUGAAGUGUGUGUACUCUGAGGGUGAGCCUUAUUGGAAUUCAUAUGAUGUUUGUCGGCUCCCUUCAUAUAAACAGGUGGCUGUGUGGAGAUAACGUACAGCAUAUUGUGCCGGCGAUGAUGCACCCGUACGCGCACGGUGUGCUCUCUGUGUGUGUGUGUGUGUGUGUGUGUGUGUGUGUGUGUGUGCGCGCUUCCUUUUUUAAUCCUAAAGCAGUCAGAGGGACAUUUAUUAAUCUCUCUAUUUCAGAAGAGGAGCGUCGCAGCCUUUCAGGUGUAUGAGCAGGGAUUCCUGAACAGAUGUCACCCUGUAGCCAACCAGUAUGCUGCGGCAACAACAAAACAAAAAAAAAACUGUUUUGCUUUGUUGCCGUUGCUUCAGAAAGGUGAAUAAUAAAAGGCUCAAUCUUUCUGCUCCACAUCCAUAUUCUCUAACUUCCAGACUAUUACCGUGGCUCAAUUUCACCAAUUUAGAUCACUCCAAAGGUCGCAGGGGCGGUUUGAAUGUGCCCGACACAGAAGAUGAGCACUGCUUUUGAAAAAGGUGUGUGGGGGGGUGUCCUUUGUUUCAUUUCAAAAUCAACCACAUGCGAUAGCAAGCCUGCGCCUUUAUUCAUCAGCAUCGUCAAGGUAACAAGAACCUGACUGUCACUGCAGAUGCAAAGUUCCUCUCAUUCUCCCUCUGUGUGUGUGUGUGUGUGUGUGUGGCUUCACUCCUCUCUUUGAUCCUAAUAAAAGAUGAGUUUCUUCGGUUUCCUCUGCUGACGUCUUGGCCGUCUUUCGCCACAGCACUACGACGACAUGCUGACCUUGCCACUUCACAUCCGGUGGCUAGUCAACCUCUGCAUUGAUCUCUUGUUUCAAAGGCUCAGAAACGCAGGCUGACAGGGCUGACAGAGCCAUUACACUUCAUCACGGCUAAAUCAAAUAGACUUCACAAAGUGCUGGAAUGAUUUAGGCCACUUGUUAAAGGUGCUUUAAAUAACACUUUCAUCUCGUCCCGUGACAAAGUAAUUCAAAGUUUAUCCGCAAAUGUGAUUGGGUAGUUAAAUAGAAGACGGUGCUGCAGUACAUGUCUAACUGUUGCACCCCAGGAUAUUUCCUCCACAUUACACGCUACCUCGCUCUAUUUAUGUCCCUUAAAAGCCACCGUGAGCUGUGCCAAAGACCGAGACGUGCAAGCUUCUUGGUCACUAAUUGACGUUUGGACACUAAGUUAUAAAUAACUAGACACUGCUUUAACAAUCUAUCCUCUCUUUGAAAGCUGCUAUGACUCACUCAGCCCACACAGUUUUUCAUUUGAAUGUUACAGUAAACCACUAAUAGCCCUCUUACUGUAUAAGGUCACAACAUCAUCGCCGGUUAUCAGCAGAGGACAGCUAAUUUAUACAGAGGAGGAGAGAAAAAUACAUUUUCUGUUUGUUUUUCAGAGAAAGUGAAAAUGCUUUUAGCGCUAUUAAAACAAACCUCUCUGUGAAGACAGGGACACAAUGUGUUUUUUGAUGCUUUAGUUUGUGCAUGAAUACCUUUGUUGUAUACAUUGUCCUCAAUAAUGUGUAUCAUUAUAUUUUAGCCGAAGGUCUGAAAAGGAUGAGUUCUGUGUCAUUUAAAACUUCUGGCUUAGCAACUGACUUCAAAGCACGGGCUGAGCGACCGCAUGCGUCAUCAAGACUGUCAGUCUCCAAAAUAACAAGGAGUGUGGUUGAGUUAGGAGACCAGUCAAUGCUGGCCUCAUUCAUCCUUUAAAGGGACUUGACUCACACUUGUCCUCAGAGACUUGAGAAGUGACCCUUUAAGACAACACUGUUGUAUGGACUCUGACAGCGAUCAGCCAAGAUUAUAUUUUUCUCUAAAAAAAAAAAUCAGAAUGGGAGCAACUCUAAAGUUUUGGCAGUAAUACUUUAGCAUUUAUAAGCGUGCCCUUCAGCAGCUUGCAGAAUAGUUUAAAGCAGACAUUAGACAUUAUUCCUGUGUAUUUAAAACUCUGAACUUCAGCCAGAAGUAAGUGUAACAUCGCUGUCACAGCAUCCAAAGGCAGUGAUGCCUUGAACGGUAGCAGUUUUUUUUUUGUUUUUUUUAAUGCACUCUCAAAACCAUGUUGAAUAAUUUAUUUUCCAGAAGGGGAUAACUAAUAUUGACAAAAGCAGUUCCAUUCAUUUUGAUUUUGACUUCAAAGUUGGUGACAAAAUAAUAUAAAGACAUAGGGUAUAGCACUGAAGACAGCCUCAGUCGACACUGACUAAUCAACAGCCAUGACCAGGUCCCAGGUGCAUUGAGCAGAAACUGCAGUCGCUAUUUUACAGGUGAGUUGCUCCAUUAAAGGGGAUGCUGCUGGCUGGCACCUUCUCCGGGCUAGUCACAAUUGUGUUGCCACAUCACUUGAAAAACAGACAUGGACCUUUAAUUGUGUAUUUACAUUUCAUACACUAUUUAGAGUUUUUAGAGAGUAGGUAAUUGAUGCACGUGACUGAACAACACUCCAAGCAAACACAUGGCUUUACUUCUGCCCUAUCCCAAAUUUUUUUUUUUAAAAAAAGGAGGCUCUUAAUUGGACUGGUUGGCAAUCAGUGCUAUAAAGAGUUCUUUUUUAGACCUUUAGUAUUUACAGGACGACUUUCUUUCUCUUUUCACUUGAUUAUUACCCCACACUGCAGACACCCAAUGCUCACAUGGCAGGCCUCUUUAAUGCCUGUGUUUUUGCAAUAUUAGUUGGUGCUGAAUUGGUGUCAUUUCAGCUCCCUCUUCUGUUCAUUUGCAUGCCCUUGUACUUUUUUUUAUUAUGUAUUUGUUAUGCAUCGCAAAUUCCAGAGAACUGAAUAAAAACUAUUAAUUCUG